rnacentral:tRNA from 1 species
GCGGUUGUAGCGCAGCCUGGCAGCGCGUCACCUCGCCACGGUGAAGGUCGCCGGUUCGACUCCGGCCAGCCGCUCCG